rnacentral:rRNA from 1 species
AUGCAAGUCGAACGGCAGCGCGGACUUCGGUCUGGCGGCGAGUGGCGAACGGGUGAGUAAUGUAUCGGAACGUGCCCAGUAGCGGGGGAUAACUACUCGAAAGAGUAGCUAAUACCGCAUACGCCCUACGGGGGAAAGGGGGGGAUCGCAAGACCUCUCACUAUUGGAGCGGCCGAUAUCGGAUUAGCUAGUUGGUGAGGUAAAGGCUCACCAAGGCGACGAUCCGUAGCUGGUUUGAGAGGACGACCAGCCACACUGGGACUGAGACACGGCCCAGACUCCUACGGGAGGCAGCAGUGGGGAAUUUUGGACAAUGGGGGAAACCCUGAUCCAGCCAUUCCGCGUGUGCGAUGAAGGCCUUCGGGUUGUAAAGCACUUUUGGCAGGAAAGAAAUCGCAUGGAUUAAUACUCUGUGUGGAUGACGGUACCUGCAGAAUAAGCACCGGCUAACUACGUGCCAGCAGCCGCGGUAAUACGUAGGGUGCAAGCGUUAAUCGGAAUUACUGGGCGUAAAGCGUGCGCAGGCGGUUCGGAAAGAAAGGUGUGAAAUCCCAGGGCUUAACCUUGGAACUGCACUUUUAACUACCGAGCUAGAGUAUGUCAGAGGGGGGUGGAAUUCCGCGUGUAGCAGUGAAAUGCGUAGAUAUGCGGAGGAACACCGAUGGCGAAGGCAGCCCCCUGGGAUAAUACUGACGCUCAUGCACGAAAGCGUGGGUAGCAAACAGGAUUAGAUACUCU